UCCCACCCGGCCACAGCGGAAACAUGCU
rnacentral:misc_RNA from 1 species